AGUAUGAGUUGAACUUGAAACUUAAGGUACUUGGCGGUUUUUUAGGCUAGUUAGAGGAACCUGUUCUGUAAUCGAUAAUCCUCGUAAAUUUUUACUUUUUUUUUAAAUAUCGCCGUCGACGUCAGGUCAAGAUUUAGCUGAUGGGAAAGGUUGAAAGUGAAUUUAAAAGUUAAAGGUGUUAGCUUGAGCUCUAAAAAAAGU
rnacentral:rRNA from 1 species